GUGCCGGGGAAGUUCGCGCUGGCAGCAUGGGGCGGUGACGCCGCACCGGCCUUCCGCGCCUGCCAGCCGGGCGAGAGCAGGCGGAGGAGAAGGAGGAUGCAUCCUCACCGACGGCUCGCCUCCCGGGGCCGGCGCGCAGGGUGAGCCCUGGGCGCGCUGGGCCGGGGCAGUGGGUGCCUUGCAGAGAGAGGAGUAGCUUGCUGGCUUUGAACGCGUGGCGUGGCAGAUAUUUCAGAAAGCUUCAAGAACAAGCUGGAGAAGGGAAGAGUUAUUCCUCCAUAUUCACCUGCUUCAACUACUAUUCUUAUUGGGAAUGGACAAUGGAAUGUUCUCUGGUUUUAUCAUGAUCAAAAACCUCCUUCUCUUUUGUAUUUCCAUGAACUUAUCCAGUCACUUUGGCUUUUCACAGAUGCCAACCAGUUCAGUGAAAGAUGAGACCAAUGACAACAUCACGAUAUUUACCAGGAUCUUGGAUGGGCUCUUGGAUGGCUACGACAACAGACUUCGGCCCGGGCUGGGAGCUUGACCAUCUCUGCAGAGUGCCCCAUGCAGCUUGAGGACUUCCCGAU
rnacentral:lncRNA from 1 species